UGUCCCAAGGUAUGUAAUAUUAAAGAAAUGUACCCUUUUAUCUUUACUUAAAGACAGCACGUAUCAUGUAAUGGAAAUUUUACAUAGUUUUUUUUUUAAAGCUGUCUUUACAUGUUAACUCAAUGUUUUUGAAGUUGAACUGGAUGUUAUUUUAAGCCUUAAAAAUAAAAUAUGCUUAGACCUUUUAGGAUGUUGUAUUGAACUUAGUUACCACAGUGAACUUUAAGGUCUAUUCACUUCCCGGUUUGCUCAUGGCUGACUUCAGUCCGGUUAGACUGUAUCCGGGUGCAAGGUAGUCAGACUGCACCUGGGUGAAAGGUCAUUCUAAUUGGUUGCGGGUCCCCUAGCGACCACAGUUCUUUUUAACAUGGCCUCUGUCUGAAUUCUCCGCAGUCCGUGGCACUUCAGGACCCCAAGAGAAACUGGAGCUGCAGCAGAAAGCUGGUAGAUAAUGCAACGAUGGACUGGGAACUCAUCUCGUCUUGGAAGUGGAAGUGGUGAUAUGGAGGCAUUCCAACUGACUCUGGGGUUUGAAAAACAGAAACAUGGCUGAGCAAAGCCACCAAUUAAAACAAACCCUUGUGAGCACUGUGGAAGAUGGUCAUUUUCAACACAUGGUGCUUGUCAUGGACCCAGGGAGGAGAAUUUACUCUUCUCUGUUAAGAAGCAGCUCUGGUGUCCUGACCAAAUGUCAGAAGAUGGGACUUUGCUCAGACCAAGCUACCAAAGACCACUGCCCUUCAUUUCAUGAGCUCAGCCCUGUCUACCCAGACGAGCAACCGAGGAGCCUGAUCCAGGAGCCAACAGAUCAUGAUUCUUGGCUAUGCAAACCUGAGACUGACUCAUCCUCCAGCAGCCGACCGUGGACAUGUGCAGCAGUCACAGAGACAGAUGGCAUUUCAAUCACUUGGCCUACAUCUUCCUCCACUGUCACCACUGUGACAGAAAUGAGUUCCGUUUGCUCCAUUUUACAUGAGGGCAAAAGGCAGCAUUGACUCACGAAGUUUACACAGUCAGUGAGAAGAGCAACCAAGUCAGGAUCAGAUACAAAGAUGUUAUUGCAGAUGUUAAUUGGAACAUAGUUUUAGUCAUUUGAUAAAUAUUCAGUAAUUUAUUGUUUGUUAAGAAAAAUUAUCCAAAAUUCACAAAUAUAGAGGAAACAAAAUUUUACCUGUACCCUCUUUUCUUUUCUUUCUUUUUUUCCCCCUAGGACUGAUAAUUAAAUGACAAGAGACAGAUAAGACAGAUCAACAGGAGAAAAACAAAUUUACUUAGUACAAAACUUACAUGGCAGGGGAGACUACAUAAGGAAAUGCAGUUGUGAAAAUGUCACAAGGACAAGAAGCUUGGGCUCAGUAAGUAGUUAAUUGGGUGAAAAAGUGGAUAGGAAGGUAAGUUUAGUCUAGCAAGGCUUGUUUGUACAAAUUUCCCUUGGCCUCAACUUCCUAUCCUUGACGAUAAGAAAGAUGCUUUCCUUCUGAUAUAGGGAAGGCAUCUUUCACAUGUGAAUUUCGUCUCCACUUGUAAGAAAAAGGUCAGAGUGAUCAUCUCACACCUGUUGUUUUUCAGGUGCCCUAAACUCAAAAUAGUCAAUAUGCCAGAGUGGCCUGUUUUGGAGUGUUGUGCUAACUCUGCUAAGGUAGAGUUAUUCUGUCAGUGGUAUAUUGAAGCAUCAUAUAAAGCUUAUCUAAUUAUUUAGGGAAGUGGCUUUCAAACUUUGCAUCAUAUUGGAAACACCUGGGACGUUUGAAAACUAUGACUGUUUGGCUCCCACUCCUAGACAUCCUGAUUUAAUGGUUGGGGGUGAUGUGAUAGGCUGAACAAUAACCUCCCAAAGAUGCCCACAACCUAAUCCUCAGAACCUGUGAAUAUGUUCCCUUACAUAUAAGAGACUUUGCAGAUAUGAUUAAGUUAAGGAUCUGGAGAUGGGAAAAUAUCCUGGAUUAUCUGGAUGGGUCCAAGGUCAUCACAAUGGUUCUUACAAAAAGGAGGCUGGAGGGUCAGAGUCAGACAGAGAAGGCUUAAAGAUGAAAGUAGAGGUCAGAGAAGGGAGAGAAGACCCUGAACUUUUGCCUCAGAAGGAGAGAAAGGGGCCACAAGCGAAGGAAUGCAGGCAGUCUCUAGAAGGUGAAAAGGGCAAGGAAAGGAUUCUCCUCUACAGCCUCUAGAAGGAAGCAGCUCGUUGGACCCAUUUUAGACUUCUGACCUGCAAGAAAAUAAAGCUCGAUUGCUUUAAACCAUGACAUUUGUGGUAGUUUGUAACAGCAGCAAUAAGAAACUAAUACAUGUGGGAUCUUGGUGUCAGGAUUAAAAAUAAAACUCUGCAAGUGAUUUUAACAUGCAGAAAAGUUUGAGAACCCAUUGAUCUAAGGAAAUGUACUUGUGUUCAACUCUGUCAUUAACUUGGAUCAGAGCUAGACACUACUAUGAAGUUACAUGUUACUUUGUAGAUUUCUAUUUGGUAGAGAUGAUAACCUCAAUUUCAUGAUUGCGUUGCCUGUAGGACAUUAACAGUUUUGCAUCUAAUCCAGGAAUCUUAUUCUGGCACUUUUACCCCUAAAAUGCCUCUUAAUAUCCAGUUCCUCAAAAUGCUUUUGGAACCAGCAUUACCAUCAUACUGGUUCCCUCAAUGAGUUGAAUACAUUUUUGAUGCAUGUUUAUUCUAUAUUUAGAUGAGAGUCAUGUUUCUAACUCUUUGGAAAUACACUUUCACGUGUUCAAUAAGU
rnacentral:lncRNA from 1 species